UUCGAUAUUUAACAUAAUUCAUAGUUGGCCUUCCAAUGGUAUUUAACAUAAUUCAUGAUGUUUGACAGGUUCAGCUACAGAAGAUACUUAUGCAGCAUAGACUAAUAUAUAGUGCUAGUCCUGAACCAAAGCUAAAGCACAUCAAUCAUAUAUGGAUGCAGGGAGAAAAUUCAGACACAUUGAGUAGGCUAGACUGUAAGAAGAUUCAAUUACGUGAAAAACAGAAUUACAUUUUGUAGGUAUCGUGUCUCAGAUUCUGAACAGAAAAAUUGGUACACUGGGCAACCACAACACAGAGAGCCAAGGCAGAGUGGCUGUCAACAUUGACGCUGUUCAUACAUUCUUGAGCUUCUUCAUCUUGGACGGAGGCCACCUGCCCUUCUUCCUAAGCUUCCUCUUGCGGAGAAGCCGCUUGCGGCG
rnacentral:lncRNA from 1 species